UUGGUGGAAUGAUACCUAAGUCAUGCUAAUGUCAUUCCAAGAUCAGUGUGAAAUCCUGCAGCAACGAGGCAACGAAAAUUUGCCGCUCCAUCUGUAACCAGCACAUGACGACUGUGUUGGAUAAGAAAAAGCACAAAGGCACAAUUUUUCCAUUACAGCGGUAAUGCACCUUUCAGUUGUUUGUCAAUCGGCUUUUAAAAGACAAAAGAAGAAGUCACUCAGGUUGAAAAAGCGCACCAUUCCUACAAGACCUGAUCCACCUGCUGCUUCCCCAAACGUAAGUAAAUGCUUGAUACUUGUUUGAUGUUUGUACUCCAGAGAUUUGUUUGGUUUAAUCUAGAUUCCCUCCUGUGUAAGGAAUGCUAAUUGCUAGAACAGUUGAUAAGAAUGUGUUGCAAGGUGCUGCCACAAUUUGGAUGAGUUCAAGCCUCUCCAGCAUUUGUCCGGUACGAAUGGUGUGAUAUAUGGUACUGAGGUCAUUCACUCGGCUCACAUUGUAGCUGCUAGCGUCAUGUUAGCUGCUAGCGCGAUGGUAGCGCAGCGUUAGCGGCUAGCACUAGACUACAGCGCUAGCCUCCACAUGACGUUGGUUUGGCUGCGAUAGUAAGUUGUGAGAGUAAGCUGUGUUUCAAAUUACUACCGAGCCUGUUGUGUGUACAUAUGUGUUGCUUAUCUAGUCAGCUACUGUAGCUGUAAAUGUGACAAUAUUUUUUUUUUUUUUUUUAUACAGGCUGAUGCAUUCCAGCUUCCAAAACACGAGGCGGUUGUUUCUCAAACUGACGCCACUGCAGGCUGUGGACACACGGCUAACUUGUAGAAGAGUUGUUGCUCACCUCAGGAGCAAAGGUAUGUACAUUUAGCAGCAGUAUGAUAAUUUGUUGGCCAAUAGGCAGUUUUAUUUGACAGAGAUUUAGCAUUUCACAUUUCAGUAGUUGUGGUAUUCAUAAUCUGAUCUAUAUUAUUGUCUAUGUAUUUUCUCUGUAUGCGGUUAGUCAACUUUUUGAUAUUUUAGUCUUUUGACGGGUCAUUUGUAAUUCUCUUGUUAUGGUGCAGAUUAUGUGGAAAAUGUGAUGGAGACCAUCUUCAAGUCCUGCUGGACUCAGGUUGUUCUAUGGAGGACCUUGUAAACAUCCCUGUCCCACCGGCCCUCUGAGCAGAAUUUGAGCAACCUGACAGAAAGGAGAGUGGUGUCAAGGAAAACAGCUGCAUCCUCCAUCUGUACAGCAGCUGCACUGCUUCCGAUGUCUUCCAACAUCUGAAGACAAAAAAGAUCCUCACAUCUCCCCAGCCAACUGCCCAUGACUGUACCUGUUCCACUCCAGAAACUAUGCUUUCAACAUAACUAUGAAUCCUACCCAUUUAUUUUGUGGUCUGCACAUUGAGCUGUGAAGGUAACUUAUCCAGCAUCAUAGUGCUGGUGCAUUGGUUGACAAUAAAGUUGGCUUUGACUAUU